CAAGAAAUAAAGGCUGGGGUUAUAGCUCAGUAGUCAAGCAUCUCUGGUUUCAGUCCCCAGUAUAGCAAGAACAAAACCAAAAAGAAAGGGGAAAAAGUAGGUUCAUAAAAAUAGCAUGAGUCACCUCUGCCACCAAAGUUGCUUAAGUAUGUCUUGAUGGCACUUCUUGUUACCCUAUGUUCUUUCCCCCUUCAGAGUUGCCUGAUAUGUACUAUAUCAGAGCAGGUUACUGAGAAUUUACUUUGAAUAAAUUUUCAAGAAGUUACUAGGGAAAAAUAUCAACAACAUGGAGAAUUUGAAACAGGAGGUUCUCUCAACUGUCCCUCUGACAAAGAUUUUGGUUUUGUCUCUUUCUGAAUAAACUCUGCCAUGAAUGAAUUAAAUCUAUGAAAUACAGAAGCUCUUUUUUUUUUAAGAAGACUGAUUCAUGAAAGAUUCAUCUGCAGUCUCUGAUUUGAAGGGGAAAUGGAAAAAUAAGAAAAGUUUCCCUUUGUUCUCAACAUCUCCAUUUGAAAAUUAGAGCGAGGAGGAGCCUUCAUGGUGAAGGAGAACUAUAAUAUACUCAGCUUUGGGGUUUGUGAGGAAUUACCAUGCUCUAAUAAGAAUAAAGAAGACAGAUGAAUAAUAGACCACUAAAUAACCCAUAGGAAUGUUGAUUUCUUAGUUGAAAAUUCCCCUUCUGGUAAUAGCUAUGUUUUCAGAAAGACUAGAGGUUUAAAGAUUGGGUUUACAAAGAACUAGAUUUUUUUUUCCUUGUGAUCUUUUACGUUUUGGGUUUCAGUUUUGCUAUAGCUAUAAUUUUAUCAUAAUGACAGACUUAGAUUUUUCUUUGGUAGGAUUUUUGCAACCCAUGCUUGCUUAACAUUUCCUCUCAUGUAAAAGAAAAUGCUCAGGGUAUUUAAAGGGGACUCUAAAGCAACUUUAAAACCUGAACUAAAAAUGUGUAUCAAAUAACAGUGGCCUAAUAUGUAAAAUAGAUACAUUGUAAAUAUAUGAGAUCAAUAGAAAUACAUUCGAAAGUUUUCUAGCCAAUUAUAUGUAUUUACUUGUUCAUUCAAUAGAUUUUGUUUCCAGAUAAAAUUAAUUGAAAUACAAUGUGAUCUAUAUGAAAUGCACCAGUGCUUUCUUAUGUGACCCAGACUCCUCAGAAGAGCACACAAUGCUCCUCAGGACAUCAAAAGCCCUUUGGGUUAUGGUCCUCAGUUAUAGCUGUUGUUUCAUGUCUUACCAUAAUGUACCAUAUUAAAUGUUUCAACUGUUUCCCCC
rnacentral:lncRNA from 1 species